GUGCCGCCGGGGCACGGCUCGGCGGCGGGGAGCGGGCAGCGGGGCGCCCGGGCACAGGGCAGCUCGCAGCCCCGUGAGGAAGCGGGAUGGCUGCGCGAGAGCAGGGAAAUUAAUUGCAUUUGAAUGUAUUUAGACAUAUCCAGAAUUAUAUACAUCUCUCAUAUAUAUAAUGCAUGUAUAGCUCCGAGGGCGAGAGGGGUAGGGAGGCGACGCUCCAAGCGCAGGGAGCAGAGGAGGGGGAGAGUGGAGGCGGUUCGGCGGCUCCUCGAUGGCCCGCUCAGGCUCCUCCGCGGGGCUGCAGCCCCUGCCCUGCAUUGCGCGGCCUCCCGCAGCCCCCGGGCGCGGCCCGGCACUACGCGGCGCGGCGGGACGCCCCCGAGAGCACAGUACACCACAACCCACCUAAUGCUAAGGAGCAGCAAAUACAGAUAAGCUUUACAAUGGCUGAGGAGGCAGAAGAGUGAGGGAACACAGUCGAGAUGAAGCAGAGUGAAUGGGAAGGAAGCUGAAAUAGAAAUGAUAUGAACGAGAAUCCCUGGUGAUCCACAUGCGUCAGCAUCUUCCUAUUCAGUGGUAUUUACAAGAACAGCUUUUGAACAAAGAAAAGCGCGGCUAAAUAAAACAAGAUACACUUUUUAAAAAUAAAUCAAUUGUUAACUACACUUACAGUCCCUGUCUUAAAUAUGCAAUUUCAUACUGAUCAAUGCAGAAUGAUAUAUACUAUACACUGUAUUUCACAUAAUAAAAACACUUAAUCCAGAUAA